UAACCUCUGCAGGCUUUCUGGUCCCCAGGCUGGGCUGGACAAGUACCUCUUCGAAAGGCUUACCCUCAAGCACAACUAGGAGC
rnacentral:pre_miRNA from 1 species